ACCCGUAAUAAAGAUGACAGUAUUGAGGCGUUGGAUAUUUUUUGAUAGUAACUAUUGGUAACAAAUGAUAACCAAUCUAGGUGAUCAGCUUACACUUACUCUUUAAUUAAUAAUGUAAUAAUUGUAAUUAUAAUAAUGUCAUAAAGUGUUUGUAUAGCUACAGUGAUAGCAAUGUAAAAGGUUGAGCUGGAAAAAAGUGGUAACUUGAGAAGCAUAAAAAGCAUAAAGUCGUUAUGGAAAAAGGCGAGGGAAAAGGGAGAGAGAGAAGAUCAGAAAGUAAAACCAAAAGAUAAGUCAACAGUUACAAAAAUUUGUUUCAAGUGAAUUUAAUUUGAACAAUGUAUUGUUUUUAUUUAAUUGUGAUCGACUAUUAUUUUAGUCAACCAUCUAAAAGUGGUCAUUAUGUUUAUUAAAAGUUGCUAAUUUAUUAAAAUUAAUCCAUUCCAUAAGAUAAUCAAAAUGAACGUUAUUUACGUCUGGUUUUUACUUACCGGCUCCAUAUUGUUAACCUCUUGUGUAUCUACAGCUGAGAUUGACGAGUCUAUUUAUGAUGAUAAUGAUGUUACAGGUGAAGAUACCGACUAUGUUGCUAGUCAAUCUAAUUAUAAUGAUGUAUAUAGUUUUAUCCUACCAUGGACUAUCAAUGUUACCUGUGACAAUGGACUACCAACUUGGAAUUCCUGUUUAACUGAUGCAAUUGAAAGUUGGUCAUCUGUGAGUGAUGUCGAUAAACGUGAUUGUUGUACCUGUUGGCAUCUAUUAAACUGUUGGUUUAACCAAGUGAAAACUGUUUGCCCUGAUAUUAAUCCAUCUUUGGCUGAACAAUCAAGGAUUAGACUAUCAAACCAAACAAAAUGUGUAAAAUAUUAUGAUAUCUCAGUGUGCAAAGCUAAACCUUUACCCAUUUGGGCCAACAUAUUGAUCCUAGCAACUGGUGCAACCGUAAUUACUGGUGCGGCAGUGUUUGUCUAUUGGAGGUGGAUUAGAUUAAUUUAGCAUCAUCAACACUAUCACCUUCAUCUACUCAACAAAGAAUAUUCCUUUGAACGGAUUCCUUUAAACAACCAUUACCAGGAGGCGGAAGAAAAUUGAAGCUCUACAAACGGAAUCAAGCAAAGGACGAUAAUUUAAGGAUGAAGAUGAUUUCAACAAGAGUUCCCAAAAUAUCCAAUAUAUCCAUUCAAAAGCAUCCAACAUAUCCAAAACUAAAAGUCAAAGGUCCUACUUGAAUGCAUGCCAAACACUAAUUCACACCAUUCCACACUUAGAAACAAAUCAAAUUAUUGAACAAUUAGAUAGGAAUAAAGAUGAAGAAAAUUUCGCUCUAUCUAGUGGGCAAUGAUAGUUAGAUUUGAUCAGUUCAAAUGUCUCGCUAAACUAUUCAAUCAGUAGUAGUUACGGACGGUUAGUAUUGGUACGGAUAUUGAAGUACCAGGUUUAGGUGUGUGGUGUUGAAUAGUGUGGACUCAAGUAGGACAUGUCAUGGAAGAUCCGAAUACCAAAAAAUUUAAACUCUAAUUUGGAUAUUUUGAUUCUUUGGACUGAUCCGAAUCGGAUAUUUUUGGGUACAAUCGAUUUUUAUAUUGGAAAUUUGACUUGUUUUUAUCUUUGUCGAUUAUUGGUUUGAUAUAAAAUCCAACAAACAGAUUCUGUUGAACGCAUAAUAAUCUGAAUAAUUUUGAAAAUAAUUUUAAAUCCAUUUUAUACAAAGAUCACAUGUUUUGUCGUAAUGCUGGAAACAAAUCUUGUAGUCAUUGGACCCAAAUGUCAACAGCCAAUAGUUAUCUAACCAGUUUAUUAAAAUAACCUGUUAAACAUUGGUUUUUGACUCAAA